GUAAGCUACUAAGAGCGAAUGGUGGAUGCCUUGACUGGUAAAGGCGAUGAAGGACGUACUAGACUGCGAUAAGCUACGGGGAGCUGUCAAGAAGCUUUGAUCCGUAGAUUUCCGAAUGGGGCAACCCAAUGUAUAGAGAUAUACAUUACCUAUAUAGGAGCGAACGAGGGGAAUUGAAACAUCUUAGUACCCUCAGGAAAAGAAAUCAAUAGAGAUUGCGUCAGUAGCGGCGAGCGAAAGCGCAAGAGGGCAAACCCAGUGCUUGCACUGGGGGUUGUAGGACUGCAAUGUGCAAGAGGUGAGUUUAGCAGAACAUUCUGGAAAGUAUAGCCAUAGAGGGUGAUAGUCCCGUAUGCGAAAAACAAACCUUAGCUAGCAGUAUCCUGAGUAGGGCGGGACACGAGAAAUCCUGUCUGAAGCUGGGUCGACCACGAUCCAACCCUAAAUACUAAUACCAGAUCGAUAGUGUACAAGUACCGUGAGGGAAAGGUGAAAAGAACUGAGGUGAUCAGAGUGAAAUAGAACCUGAAACCAUUUGCUUACAAUCAUUCAGAGCACUAUGUAGCAAUACAGUGUGAUGGACUGCCUUUUGCAUAAUGAGCCUGCGAGUUGUGGUGUCUGGCAAGGUUAAGCAAACGCGAAGCCGUAGCGAAAGCGAGUCUGAAUAGGGCGCUUAGUCAGAUGCUGCAGACCCGAAACGAAGUGAUCUAUCCAUGAGCAAGUUGAAGCUAGUGUAAGAACUAGUGGAGGACUGAACCCAUAGGCGUUGAAAAGCCCCGGGAUGACUUGUGGAUAGGGGUGAAAGGCCAAUCAAACUUCGUGAUAGCUGGUUCUCUCCGAAAUAUAUUUAGGUAUAGCGUUGUGUCGUAAUAUAAGGGGGUAGAGCACUGAAUGGGCUAGGGCAUACACCAAUGUACCAAACCCUAUCAAACUCCGAAUACCUUAUAUGUAAUCACAGCAGUCAGGCGGCGAGUGAUAAAAUCCGUCGUCAAGAGGGAAACAACCCAGACUACCAGCUAAGGUCCCUAAAUCUUACUUAAGUGGAAAACGAUGUGAAGUUACUUAAACAACCAGGAGGUUGGCUUAGAAGCAGCCAUCCUUUAAAGAAAGCGUAAUAGCUCACUGGUCUAGUGAUUUUGCGCGGAAAAUAUAACGGGGCUAAAGUAAGUACCGAAGCUGUAGACUUGACUUUGUCAAGUGGUAGGAGAGCGUUCUAUUUGCGCCGAAGGUAUACCGGUAAGGAGUGCUGGAGCGAAUAGAAGUGAGCAUGCAGGCAUGAGUAGCGAUAAUUAAUGUGAGAAUCAUUAACGCCGUAAACCCAAGGUUUCCUACGCGAUGCUCGUCAUCGUAGGGUUAGUCGGGUCCUAAGUCGAGUCCGAAAGGGGUAGACGAUGGCAAAUUGGUUAAUAUUCCAAUACCAACAUUAGUGUGCGAUGGAAGGACGCUUAGGGCUAAGGGGGCUAGCGGAUGGAAGUGCUAGUCUAAGGUCGUAGGUGCUUAUACAGGCAAAUCCGUAUAAGAAUACACCGAGAACUGAAAGGCUUUUUGAAGUCUUCGGAUGGAUAGAAGAACCCCUGAUGCCGUCGAGCCAAGAAAAGUUUCUAAGUUUAGCUAAUGUUGCCCGUACCGUAAACCGACACAGGUGGGUGGGAUGAGUAUUCUAAGGCGCGUGGAAGAACUCUCUUUAAGGAACUCUGCAAAAUAGCACCGUAUCUUCGGUAUAAGGUGUGGUUCGCUUCGUAUUAGGAUUUACUCCGAAAGCGAAGAAACUUACAACAAAGAGUCCCUCCCGACUGUUUACCAAAAACACAGCACUCUGCUAACUCGUAAGAGGAUGUAUAGGGUGUGACGCCUGCCCGGUGCUCGAAGGUUAAUUGAUGGGGUUAGCAUUAGCGAAGCUCUUGAUCGAAGCCCGAGUAAACGGCGGCCGUAACUAUAACGGUCCUAAGGUAGCGAAAUUCCUUGUCGGUUAAAUACCGACCUGCAUGAAUGGCGUAACGAGAUGGGAGCUGUCUCAAAGAGGGAUCCAGUGAAAUUGUAGUGGAGGUGAAAAUUCCUCCUACCCGCGGCAAGACGGAAAGACCCCGUGGACCUUUACUACAGCUUGACACUGCUAUUUGGAUAAGAAUGUGCAGGAUAGGUGGGAGGCUUUGAGUAUAUGACGCCAGUUGUAUAUGAGCCAUUGUUGAGAUACCACUCUUUCUUAUUUGGGUAGCUAACCAGCUUGAGUUAUCCUCAAGUGGGACAAUGUCUGGUGGGUAGUUUGACUGGGGCGGUCGCCUCCCAAAUAAUAACGGAGGCUUACAAAGGUUGGCUCAGAACGGUUGGAAAUCGUUCGUAGAGUAUAAAGGUAUAAGCCAGCUUAACUGCAAGACAUACAAGUCAAGCAGAGACGAAAGUCGGUCUUAGUGAUCCGGUGGUUCUGUGUGGAAGGGCCAUCGCUCAAAGGAUAAAAGGUACCCCGGGGAUAACAGGCUGAUCUCCCCCAAGAGCUCACAUCGACGGGGAGGUUUGGCACCUCGAUGUCGGCUCAUCGCAUCCUGGGGCUGGAGCAGGUCCCAAGGGUAUGGCUGUUCGCCAUUUAAAGCGGUACGCGAGCUGGGUUCAGAACGUCGUGAGACAGUUCGGUCCCUAUCUGCCGUGGGCGUAAGAAGAUUGAAGAGAUUUGACCCUAGUACGAGAGGACCGGGUUGAACAAACCACUGGUGUAGCUGUUGUUCUGCCAAGAGCAUCGCAGCGUAGCUAAGUUUGGAAAGGAUAAACGCUGAAAGCAUCUAAGCGUGAAGCCAACUCUAAGAUGAAUCUUCUCUAAGCUCUCUAGAAGACUACUAGUUUGAUAGGCUGGGUGUGUAAUGGAUGAAAGUCCUUUAGCUGACCAGUACUAAUAGAGCGUUUGGCUUAUCUUU
rnacentral:rRNA from 1 species